AACAGAGCCCCCAAGCGUUAUCCGGAUUUAUUGGGCGUAAAGGGUCCGUAGCCGGUUUGGCAAGUCUCUGGUUAAAUGCCAUGGGCUCAACCUAUGGAAUGCCUGAGAAACUGCCUCACUAGAGGACGUCAGGGGCUGAUGGAACGCACGGUGGAGGGGUGAAAUCCGUUGAUAUCGUGCGGAACACCAAAAGCGAAGGCAUUCAGCUGGGGCGAUCCUGACGGUGAGGGACGAAAGCGUGGGGCGCAAAGAGG
rnacentral:misc_RNA from 1 species